GGUAACUACUGGUCGUGGGCGUGGGUAAGACGAAGGGUUCAAGCGGUAAUCGGAAUUACUGGGCGUAAAGCGUGCGUAGGCGGUUCUUUAAGUCUGCUGUGAAAUCCCCGGGCUCAACCUGGGAAUGGCAGUGGAUACUGGAGAGCUAGAGUGUGAUAGAGGAUGGUGGAAUUCCCGGUGUAGCGGUGAAAUGCGUAGAGAUCGGGAGGAACAUCAGUGGCGAAGGCGGCCAUCUGGAUCAACACUGACGCUGAGGCACGAAAGCGUGGGGAGCAAACAGGAUUAGAUACCCGGGUAGUC
rnacentral:rRNA from 1 species